rnacentral:rRNA from 1 species
GGGGAAUAUUGCACAAUGGGCGAAAGCCUGAUGCAGCAACGCCGCGUGAGCGAAGAAGGCCUUUGGGUCGUAAAGCUCUGUUGGAAGGGAAGAAAAAAAUGACGGUACCUUCUGAGGAAGCCCCGGCUAACUACGUGCCAGCAGCCGCGGUAAUACGUAGGGGGCGAGCGUUAUCCGGAAUUAUUGGGCGUAAAGAGUGCGUAGGUGGUCUUGUAAGCGUGGGGUGAAAGGCAGUGGCUUAACCAUUGUAAGCCCUGCGAACUGUGAGACUUGAGUGCAGGAGAGGAAAGCGGAAUUCCUAGUGUAGCGGUGAAAUGCGUAGAUAUUAGGAGGAACACCAGUGGCGAAGGCGGCUUUCUGGACUGUAACUGACACUGAGGCACGAAAGCGUGGGGAGCAAACA